GCCCGCCCUCGUCUCCGCCCCUGCGGGUGCUGCUCGUUAGGCCCCGCCCCGCACCCCGUCACCCCCGCCGCGCGACCCGCAGCCGCCGCCAGGGCCCUCUGCUGCCGCGGAGGUGCUAGGACAGCCGCGGACGGCCCGCCUCCCCGUGCCCCGGGCCUCGAGGCCAAUAAAAAGCUCGCCCCUCCAGCUCACCGGGUCCGACGGGUACGGUACAAAGUGCUGUCUCUCGCCACAGCCACCUUUGUGACAAUAAAAGCAAUAAGGCUAAUGUCCAUGGGGCGCUCACGGUGAGCUUUAGCUUUAUGAUAAAGGUUGGCCUGUUACCUCGUUUAAUCUUCACAACUGCCCCAUCAGCUAGGUACUCUUACUGUCCCCAGUUUAUGCAUGAACAAAGAAAGCUGAGAUACGGAGACGAGUGAUCCGUCGAGGUAAUAAACGGCACAGGUGGGGUUUGAACUCCAUCAGUUUGAUUGCAGAGGCCUGGAACAACCCUACAGGCUUCUCUCAGAUCUUUUCUGGACCUUUUUCUAUGCGCUUUGCACCUAGGACGUGAGGCUGCCAAGCUCGGUAUUCAAUAAAUAUUGACGGAUGAAGGAACAAUGGAAGAAAGGAGUGCAUGGGUAAACAAAUGACAAAUAUGUCAAAGCACAGAUGCAGAUUCUUAGAAUGGGCUAAUGCUGUUUUCUUCUGGAUUUUUGGAUGUGGGCAAGCGAGUUCUCUCACUAUACAGAUCCACAGUGUCUGGGUCAGAGGAGAACUGAUGCUCGGCAUGGCAUUUCACCAUUCUGCCUGCCUGCCUGGGGCCCUGGGCCCACAGGCUUUGAGGACAGUACAUGGCCAGGCUGCAGACUUCCUGGGAUAAAUCUCUGCCUUUUAGUCUCUUAUCCUACUUUUUAGAAGCCCUUUAAGGUCUUUGUAAAAGGAAAUCUAAUGUGAACAAUUCCAGGAAAACUGGAUAAGCCUGACUAUGGGUGGGCGUGGCUGAAUUACUUCCUGGGCUGGCUAAGGAAGGGCUCCCCCGAAGUGCAUCGGAAGCCUGCAGCUUCUCCUUAUGGCCACUGGAGGGCACUUGGACCAUGAAAUACCAGAUCGUCUCGGCGUCCCAGGUCUUUGGAGAUAUGUGAUUCAAUUCAACAAAAGUUUCAAAAUCAUCACCAUAAUGAUAGUGCUUUUGUGUUGAAUAUCCAAUAUGGCGCUAAACACCUUAUAUAUAUGUGUGCGUGUAUAUAUGAACUUGCUUAAUAUUCACUACAAUUGUUGUGAGUUACUUAGGCUAUUUAGGAAAAAAAAAAUCAAGGCUUAAAGAAGUCAAAGUACUUACCCAAGAUUGCUUAGCUAAAUAAAAUUUGGGAGUAAGGACUUGAACUCAAGCCCUUGGGCACCAACCAUAAGUAAUAGAUGCACACAAAGCUGAAAUGAGAACUCUCUUAUAAGCAGGAAGACGCACACACCACACAAAUAUUAUUGUUCCUGAACAAUUUACACAUUCUGAAAUUGGAAGAUGACUUACAAUUUGUACAUUACAUGGUAAUGUUUCUUUUUUCCCUUGAAAUAAUGUUAUUAAAUAAAUGAAGUGUCUCACAAU
rnacentral:antisense_RNA from 1 species